UGACUAUUCAACAGCAUGCCAUUACACUAAUAUGUUUUUCACUGAAACAAAGCACUAUCCUAACGUCAUUUGGAUCUGAUCACAUUAGGACAGUUUUGUCUCCGUUCUCCAGGCUGUCUGCUAGAUUCUAAAAACGGCUGUGGUCACAUGACCAUGUCCAUGCAGCUCUUUCCUUAUUUCCUGUAAUAUGUCCAUGGGCGUGUCAGUGCUGGGGGAGUGUCUAUGCAACUAUCUGGUAGGAGGAGCUAUGUCACUAGCUGGGUGUUGCUAGGGGCGGUGCUGGAGCAAUGGCGGACGAAGAAGUGCAUCAUGGGUUUGGUCGGAUACAACAGGACAUGCUACAUAUGGGAUGUAACAAACCAGAGUGAUUCUUUCACAUAGUGAAAACGGGUCCAUGCGGAGGAUGCGCUGAAUAUAACUUUGCUCUGUUUAAUUGUCAGAUAUACUGUAUCUCAUUAUGAUUGCAGCAGAGAGGUAUGUUCUACUAAAAGGAGGAGAUAUCUGCUUUGAAGGAAGUCGAUUCCUUAUGGGUCAUCUCAUGUAAUUUCAAGGCUGGCUAUUCAAAUCUGUUUUCUCCCUGUUCUACACCAUUAAUUUAGUCAUUUACCCUCCCAUGCUUUUCUGUAAACAGUUUUUAGUAAGAACAUUCAUUGCUUCCCAUCUCAUUUUAUUAUUGGAACUACAGCAGUAUUCCGAGUUCUUCUAUCCCUUCUUGCAUAGGCUUAGAUGAAAUAAUAAAGCGGAGAACAGUCUGUCCCUGGGAGCAUUAGCAGCUAGGCUGGCAUGGAGCGGAAAAUGCAAGAAGCUGGGGUUAGGGUGGAUUCACUAAUUUUUUCUUAUCACUUUUUUACAUGCAUUUUUGGUGCUUGAAAAAAAUAAUACACCACUUCUUAAUGUUAAUGUGAGAACACAGUAUAAACAUGCCUUUUUAUUCAUCUGCAGUGCAUUUGGUGGUCAAUGACAUUUUUAUUUAAUUGCAGCAUGCUCUGGCUAUUGAAUUUUUUUGUUCAUUUGCUAGACUUUUUGUGCCAUAGACACCCAAUGCCCUUUUGCCCCGCUUCCAAAAACACCAAAACAAUGCACCAGAAACACCUAAAAAACUCUACAAAAAUGCAUGUCAAGUUAAAGCAGUAUUCAUUGUUCUUUGCAUAUGCUUAGAUGAAAUAAUAAAGCUAAGAAGAGUCUGUCUCUAUGAAAAUUAGAGGAAAAAUGCACUGAGAGGAAAAAGCUAAGACAAAAAGCUUA